rnacentral:sRNA from 1 species
UACGAUUGAUAUUACGGCCCUUAGGGCCUGU